UCCAGUCCUGGUGACCGAUACAACAGAGAGCUGUGUGUGGGGUGAAGGGGAGGGCAGAGAGCCGUGUAGCCAUAUAUGUAUCAGGCAAAGAUCUAGGAGUAUGUAUGUCAGACAGAAAAUCACGUGUAUGUGAGUUUGAGGCAGCAAGCUCUGUGUGUGUGAGAGAUGGAGAGAAGUGUGUGUGUGUGAGAGAGAGAGGUGGAGAAUCGUGUGUGAGAGAUGGAGAGAGGUGGAGAGGAGUGUGUGAGAGAGAGAGGUGGAGAGUAGCGUGUGUGUGUGUGAGAGAUGGAGAGGAUUGUGAGAGAGAGGUGGAGAGGUGUGGGUGAGAGAUGGAGAGAGGUGGAGAGGAGCGUGUGUGUGAGAGAGAUGCAGAGGAGUGUGUGAGAGAGGUGAAGAGGAGCGUGUGUGUGUGAGAGAGGUGGAGAGGAGUGUGUGAGAGAGAGUGAGAGAGGUGUGUGUGAGAGGUGGAGAGGAGUGUGUGAGAGAGAGUGAGAGAGGUGGAGAGUAGCGGGUGUGGGUGAGAGAAAGAGGUGGAGAGGAGUGUGUGAGAAAUGGAGAGGAGUAUGUGAGAGAGUGAGAGAGGUGGAGAGGUGUGUGUGAGAGGUGGAGAGGAGUGUGAGAGAGAGAGAGAGGUGGAGAGGAGGGUGUGUGUGUGAGAGAGGUGGAGAGGAGUGUGUGUGAGAGGUUGAGAGUAGCGUGUGUAUGUGAGAGAGAUGGAGAGGAUUGUGAGAGAGAGGUGGAGAGGUGUGGGUGAGAGACAGAGAGAGGUGGAGAGGAGCGUGUGAUAGAGUGAGAGAGGUGGAGAGGAGCGUGUGUGAAAGAUGGAGAGGAGUGUGUGAGAGAGAGAGAGAGAGGUGGAGGUGUGUGUGAGAGAUGGAGAGGAGUGUGAGAGAGAGAGAGAAGUGGAGAGUAGCGUGUGUGUGUGUGUGAGAGAUGGAGAGGAUUGUGAGAGAGAGGUGGAGAGGUGUGGGUGAGAGAGAGGUGGAGAGGUGUGGGUGAGAGAGAGAGGUGGAGAGGAGUGUGUGAGAGAGAGUGAGAGAGGUGGAGAGGAGCGUGUGAGAGAGGUGAAGAGGAGCGUGUGUGUGUGAGAGAGGUGGAGAGGAGUGUGUGAGAGAUGGAGAGGAGUGUGUGAGAGGUGGAGAGGAGUGUGUGAGAGAGAGUGAGAGAGGUGGAGAGUAGCGUGUGUGUGUGAGAGAGAUGGAGAGGUGUGGGUGAGAGAAAGAGGUGGAGAGGAGUGUGUGAGAAAUGGAGAGGAAUGUGUGAGAGAGAGUGAGAGAGGUGGAGAGGUGUGUGUGAGAGGGAGAGGAGUGUGUGAGAGAGUGAGAGAGGUGGAGAGGUGUGUGUAAGAGGUGGAGAGGAGUGUGAGAGAGAGAGAGGUGGAGAGGAGCAUGUGUGUGUGAGAGAGAUGGAGAGAGAGAGAGAGAGAGGUGGAGAGGAGCAUGUGUGAGAGAUGGAGAGGAGUGUGUGAGAGAGAGAGAGGUGGAGAGGUGUGUGUGAGAGAUGGAGAGGAGUGUGUGAGAGAGAGAGAGAGGUGGAGAGUAGCGUGUGUGUGAGAGAGAUGGAGAGGAUUGUGUGAGAGAGGUGGAGAGGUGUGUGAGAGAGGUGGAGAGGAGCGUGUGUGUGUGAGAGAGGUGGAGAGGAGUGUGUGAGAGAGGUGGAGAGGAGUGUGUGAGAGAUGGAGAGGAGUGUGUGAGAGAGAGUGAGAGAGGUGGAGAGGAACAUGUGUGUGAGAGAGAGGUGGAGAGGUGUGGGUGAGAGAGAGAGGUGGAGAGGUGUGGGUGAGAGAGAGAGGUGGAGAGGUGUGUGACAGAGAGUGAGAGAGGUGGAGAGGAGCGUGUGUGUGAGAGAGGUGGAGAGGAUUGUGAGAGAGAGGUGGAGAGGUGUGGGUGAGAGAGAGAGGUGGAGAGGUGUGUGAGAGAGGUGGAGAGGAGCGUGUGUGUGUGAGAGAGGUGGAGAGGAGUGUGUGAGAGAGGUGGAGAGGAGUGUGUGAGAGAUGGAGAGGAGUGUGUGAGAGAGAGUGAGAGAGGUGGAGAGGAACAUGUGUGUGAGAGAGAGGUGGAGAGGUGUGGGUGAGAGAGAGAGGUGGAGAGGUGUGGGUGAGAGAGAGAGGUGGAGAGGUGUGUGACAGAGAGUGAGAGAGGUGGAGAGGAGCGUGUGUGUGAGAGAGGUGGAGAGGAUUGUAAGAGAGAGGUGGAGAGGUGUGGGUGAGAGAGAGAGGUGGAGAGGUGUGUGUGUGCGAUAGAGGUGGAGAGGUGUGUGAGAGAGAGAGGUGGAGAGGUGUGAGAGUGAGAGAGGUGGAGAGGUGUGUGUGUGAGAGAGGUGGAGAGGUGUGUGUGUGAGAGAAAGGUGGAGAGGUGUGUGAGAGAGAGAGGUGGAGAGGUGUGUGAGAGAGAAAGGUGGAGAGGUGUGGGUGAGAGAGAGGUGGAGAGGUGUGGGUGAGAGAGAGGUGGAGAGGUGUGGGUGAGAGAGAGAGGUGGAGAGGUGUGUGUGUGAGAGAUAGGUAGAGAGGUGUGUGUGUGAGAGAGAGGUGGAGUGCUGGAAAUGUGUAUGAGAGAUGAAGAGCUGGGAAUGUGUGAAAGUGAUGGAGAGCUGGAAGUAUAUCAGGCAGAGAGUUUCUGUGAACAACGAAAGAGCUUUGGGUUUGGAAUUGGGUAUUUGAUCCUCUACAAUAUUCCGCGUGUGAAUUUAAACUGGAGGUGGCAGUGUUUUUUUACGAAGCCGAGUUGCAAUAUCAACCGGGCUUGGACGGAGAGCGCGCUCGGGGGUAAUGGAACUCGGGAACCUCCAUUUUCGAGCCUGGUGCUGAUCUCAUUGUGCCACCAGCCGAUGUUGGAGCCAGGCCCUGGAAUUAAAGUUGGGAGACGGAAUGGAGUGUACUUAGGGAAGUGAGUCCUCUUCAUCUCAUGCUGAGUGACUGUCUGUGGGCUACAGGGAUGCUCACAGUGGGUAAUGCUGUACAGUGUGUACAGGUCCAGCCAACAGGCAGCCUACUUGGAAAAAGAACAUACUGAGAGCACUGUUUUCCUGGGUUCCUGUAAAUUUCUGCAUUAUUUCGGGAUUCCUAUAUCAACAUUUAACACCUGUUCCUCCAGCUGUUCAGAAUAGUCAAAGCACAGCUGGACUUGCAGUGACACAGAGGGAGCAAAGUACAACUUCAGUCUUGCCUGGAGCGUGUAGAGCACAGUGACUAGGUGUGGCAUGGAGUGGACGAAGGCUACCAAGGUAACAGAGCAAUACCUGAGAUCAGAAAAUGCCAGACUUCCGGCUGAGUCCCUUCACUGCCAAACACAGAAUGAAUGUAAAAAGUCAAUUCAAACAAGGAGACACUGACCGUACACCAGGCUGUGUUACGCUGGACACUGACAGUACACCAGACUGUGUUACACUGGACACUGACUGUACACCCGACUGUAUUACACUGGACACUGACCGUACACCAGACUCUGUUACACUGGACACUGACAGUACACAAGACUGUGUUACACUGGACACUGACCGUACACCAGACUGUGUUACGCUGGACACUGACAGUACACCAGACUGUAUUAUGCUGGACACUGACUGUACACCAGACUGUGUUACACUGGACACUGACAGUACACCAGACUGUGUUACGCUGGACACUGACAGUACACCAGACUGUAUUAUGCUGGACACUGACCAUACACCAGACUGUGUUACGCUGGACACUGACCGUACACCAGACUGUGUUACACUGGACACUGACAGAACACCAGACUGUUACACUGGACACCGACAGUACACCAGACUGUGUUACGCUGGACACUGACAGUACACCAGACUGUGUUACGCUGGACACUGACUGUACACCAGACUGUUAUGCUGGAUACUGACAGUACACCAGACUGUUACACUGACCACUGACAGUACACCAGACUGUGUUACACUGGACACCGACAGUACACCAGACUGUAUUAUGCUGGACACUGACCAUACACCAGACUGUGUUAUGCUGGACACUGACCGUACACCAGACUGUGUUACGCUGGACACUGACAGAACACCAGACUGUUACACUGGACACCGACAGUACACCAGACUGUGUUACGCUGGACACUGACAGUACACCAGACUGUGUUACGCUGGACACUGACCGUACACCAGACUGUUUUAUGCUGGUCACUGACUGUACACCAGACUAUGUUACGCUGGACACUGACCGUACAGUGGAGUGUGUUACCUCUGCUUUCCAGAAGCAGUUGUGGCCUGAAGUGUGGCUGGCUGUGGGAGAGUGGGUUGUUAUUGUUAUUUUCGAUAAUGUUGAUCGUCUCUGGUAAACUGUUCAUACAGAUCUGAUCAUUACACUGUACAUUGAGCUAGAAUAAGAACGUGACGCUCUUAUUGCUCAGGGCAUCGUUGUUCAGAGUUCAGUCCCGGCCUCCUCUGUAUGGAGUCUGUAGUCCUACUUGCAUGGGUUUCCUCCCAGUGCUCCAGUUUCCUUCAAGUUCAAAAACAUACCAAUUGGUAGGGUAAUUGGUUAUUUUAAAUUGCGCCGUGAUUAGGCUAGGGUUAAAUUAGGGGUUGCUGGGCAGCAUGGCUUAGAGAACUGGAAUGGUUUGCUGCAUGUUGCAUCUUGAAAUAAUAAAUAAAUAAACAAACAAAUAAAAUAAAGUAAAACGAUAACAGAAUACAGAACACACACAGAGUGCUGGAGGAACAGCAGGCCAGGCAGCAUCUCUGCAAAAGAGUAAACAGCCAACGUUUCGGGUCGAGACCCUUCAUUCGAACCAGAGAAAAAGAUGAGAAG